CGCACGACGAACAGAGGGCUCUGUUCUUCGCCCCUUCUCUCCCUCCCACCACCACCCCCCUUGAUCUACUCCAUCAACCCCUCAAACUCACAGAUCGGACCCCCCCAAGCUUCUUUGAGGAUGGCGGAUGGUGAUGGACCUUGGUAUGACGGAUUAAUCGAUGAGUGGGAUAAGGAGCAUCGUGCUCGUGCCAUUGAAAAUGGACAGGUUGUAGUUGCUAUGCGCAUGAGGGGUCAUUCCGCUGAUGACUUUGAUUACGACCCGCGGUAUGAGCCUUACAUUCGGAGAUUGGGUCUUCUCCCAUUCGUGUUGCAG